rnacentral:rRNA from 1 species
UCUCUUCGGAGAGCAAUUUAGUGGCGAACGGGUGAGUAACACGUGGGUUACCUGCCCUCGAGUGGGGAAUAACUCCGGGAAACUGGAGCUAAUACCGCAUAUAACCUCCGGGUGAAAGGCUUCGGCCGCUCGAGGAUGGGCCCGCGGUCGAUUAGCUAGUUGGUGGGGUAAUGGGCUACCAAGGCACCGAUCGAUAGCCGGCCUGAGAGGGCACACGGCCACACUGGCACUGAGACACGGGCCAGACUCCUACGGGAGGCAGCAGUGGGGAAUCUUGGACAAUGGGGGAAACCCUGAUCCAGCGACGCCGCGUGACCGAUGAAGGCCUUCGGGUCGUAAAGGUCUUUCAGUGGGGACAAUAAUGAUGGUACCCACAGAAGCAGGAGCGGCUAACUACGUGCCAGCAGCCGCGGUAAUACGUAGGCUCCAAGCGUUGUUCGGAAUUACUGGGCGUAAAGCGAGUGUAGGCGGUCCGUCAAGUCGAUUGUGAAAUCUCCCGGCUCAACUGGGAGGGUGCGGUCGAAACUGACGGACUAGAGUUCGGGAGAGGAGAGUGGAAUUCCUGGUGUAGCGGUGAAAUGCGUAGAUAUCAGGAGGAACACCGGUGGUGAAGACGGCUCUCUGGACCGAUACUGACGCUGAGACUCGAAAGCGUGGGUAGCAAACAGGAUUAGAUACCCUGGUAGUCCACGCCCUAAACGAUGCGUACUUGGUGUAGGCUCUUCACUGAGUCUGUGCCGAAGUUAACACGAUAAGUACGCCGCCUGGGGAGUACGGUCGCAAGGCUGAAACUCAAAGGAAUUGACGGGGGCCCGCACAAGCGGUGGAGCAUGUGGUUUAAUUCGACCAACGCGAAGAACCUUACCUGGGCUUGAACUGCCGUGGCUACUCCCAGAAACGGGAGGUUUCCUUCGGGAACCGCGGUGGAGGUGCUGCAUGGCUGUCGUCAGCUCGUGUCGUGAGAUGUUGGGUUAAGUCCCGCAACGAGCGCAACCCUCGUCCUGUGUUACCAAAAAUUGGGACUCGCAGGAGACCGCCAGCGACAAGCUGGAGGAAGGUGGGGACGACGUCAAGUCAUCAUGGCCUUUAUGUCCAGGGCUACACACGUGCUACAAUGGGCGGUACAACGGGUUGCGAAGUCGUGAGGCGGAGCUAAUCCCUAAAAGCCGUCCCCAGUUCGGAUUGCAGGCUGCAACUCGCCUGCAUGAAGUUGGAAUCGCUAGUAAUGGCGUAUCAGAAUGACGCCGUGAAUACGUUCCCGGGCCUUGUACACACCGCCCGUCACAUCACGAAAGUGGAUUGUACUAGAAGUUCGCGAGCUAACCUUCGGGAGGCAGCGACCCACGGUAUGAUUCAUGAUUGGGGUGAAGUCGUAACAAGGUA